CCUGUCCUCAUCGUGUCCAUCACAUGUGGCAUGUUUAAUCAGAGAAGAGGACGAAACAUUAAUGGCUUCAUCCUUUUCUCCAUGAAAUCCAGCCAAAUAACCCCUUAAGUUUGGUGUUGGAAGCACAAGAAGGAAUCCAAGUGCAUUCUUGCUCCGGUUGCACUUUAAAAAGGUACUUUGUGUAGUUGGAGAUGUUUCUUUUCUGCAUGACACAAAUGAGCUGUCCCUUUUGAGAAAGCAGAUGGUGAUCUUUCUAAGAGGAAGGCAAAAGGAGCAAAGACAAUAGUGGCAAAGGCAUUUCUGUACACGGCAAAGGAGUACCAAGAAAUGAAGCUGAAAGUUAGUCAACUAACAAGUACACUUAGUUCCACGGAGGCAAGGACGUUGCAUAUGCAGGCCCAAAUUCCCCCGUAUCCCGGGGAUGCUCGUAGGUCACAGCCCAGUAGACGACGUAGGUCACAAGACAACGUAGUUCAUGCUCUUGUUGAUGAGGAUAGUGGAGAGGAAUCGGAUCAUGUCUCUAACACCCAACGUUGACUUUUUUGAUUCGUAUACUUUUGGAUUGUAAUAUUGCUAUGUUUUCUUGGAUAUGUAUAUUUUUUUUUAUGAUAGUUUUAAUUCGAAUUAGAUGUACUUUUGAAGGUGAAUUGGAUUGUAGGAAGUAGUUUAUGGAUGUUUUAGCUUUACGAUGUUUAAGUAUUUGAAUGUAGAAAGUAGUUUAUGGUUGUUUAACUUUACGAUGUUCAAGUGUU